UCUGGUGGUUCUAGCGAAGGGGUCACACCUGAUCCCAUCUCGAACUCAGAAGUUAAGCCCUUCAGCGCCGAUGGUACUUGGGCCUGAGCCCUGGAAGAGUAGGUCGCCGCCAGAA
rnacentral:rRNA from 1 species